rnacentral:rRNA from 1 species
GAUGAACGCUGGCGGCGUGCCUCAAACAUGCAAGUCGAGCGGGGCUAUGUAAUAUCGCAAGGUAGAACAUAGCCUAGCGGCGAACGGGUGAGUAACACGUGGGUAACCUGCCUGGAAGACAGGGAUAACGAUUCGAAAGGGUCGCUAAUACCUGAUAAUAUCCUUUCAUCGCAUGGUGAUAGGAAGAAAGGGGAAACCCGCUUUCAGAUGGGCCCGCGUCCCAUCAGCUAGUUGGUAAGGUAAAGGCUUACCAAGGCGACGACGGGUAGCCGGUCUGAGAGGAUGUACGGCCACACUGGGACUGAGAUACGGCCCAGACUCCUACGGGAGGCAGCAGUUGGGAAUCUCAGGCAAUGGACGAAAGUCUGACCUAGCGACGCCGCGUGAGGGAAGAAGGCCUUGGGUGUAAACCUCUGUCAUGGGGAAGAAGUAAGUGACGGUACCCCAAGAGGAAGCCCUGCUAACUACGUGCCAGCCGCCGCGGUAAAACCCUGUACAGU